CAGCAGAAGGCGAAACAAGACAGAAAGGCCACUCGGUCGGAUGUGGCUUGCAAGCUGAUUGCCGGUGAUUCGGUUGAUCAUUCAAGGAGGUGUGCUCCCAUUAAUGAUUACUUCAUUAUUAACCUCAAUAAUCUGCUAGUCGCUUCCCGGAAAAGCGAGCGGCCUUUAGCUUCCCUGCUGAAGUCAAUCAGGUCAGCAUCGCCUGACGGCUAGUCCAUUGAAAGCUGUGACCAGGAAACUAAACUGGCAUCCCGGAUCGCUUAAUCGAUGGUGCAUCGUAAAUUCCUGGGGAAUCUUGACGACAGAGAGAUCACCACUGGGUAAAGGGGCGAGGCCUAAAAAGGCAACAAGACACCGAUCUGAAAGUCUGGAUUCUGCACUGCUUCUGUCUGCAAGUGAGCAGCUACAGGGCGAGCCUGGGUUGGAAGAAGAGGGUCUGAUGUGAGGAGUAAUAUUCCCUGGAGAUUUAGAAAAAAAGGAUUGAAUUUGCGGUUCAGCAGAGCGGGCGACGAUCCCAGAUGUAAGCAUCUGCCCACAUCAUCUGUAACAGCUCCAAAAAAAUUCUUAAUUCUCAAUUCUCGAAAGUGGUUAUUCUUGCUUCUUUGUGAAUGUGACUGCGAGGUAGACAGAGAGAAGGAUAUAAGUCCUCACAAGUUGUAUAAAGACACAUGCGUUCUCAGGGAGAGGGUACAUCAAACCUGCAGCAUGGAUGGAGUACUGAACACGGAAAGGUUUUAGACUCUCUCUCACGAAUCCCAGGAAGCUCAGUGGCCAGAACAGGUUCCAGACCUGAUCAAACCUCAAACUGUCACCUCAGUUCAUGGCCCACUGUGAACCCCCCAAUCUCUAUUUCCAACCACCGGCGGUAACCUAACGAUUGCAUUUUGCCAAAAAGAAAGACUGAAAUUGACUUAAUGGGAUUCAUUUCAAUUCUGAAACAUGCUGGAUAUUUUAGAACACGGUCACUCAAUUGUGUAGAUUCGGUUUCUGUACGAAAUUUAUUUGCCCUAAUAUCAGUGACUGAGGUAAUCGGUCUCCGUACUGUUCCGCACCGCCCUCUGACUAGUCGAGUGGCCAAAAGAUUUUGGGAGGAAGAAAUUCAAACCUUAACAUCAGCACCCCCCACCACCCCCCACCUUCCCCCAAACUCCAUCUGACACCUGCAAAUGCCAAUCCAGGAUCUGAGCAGACAAAUUGAAACUGGCAAUCCAGCACAAAAGGAAGUUGCUGGAGAAACUCAGCAGGUCUGUGGAGAGAGAAACACAGUUAACGUUUCGAGUCCAGUGAUCGGUCCUCACAUUCCAAUGUGUUACUGAGCGUGUGGUGUACGUUCCCAGACGGCUUCUUUUGGUUGGGGCAUUAAAACCGAGACCCGAACUGCCCUUACAUGUGGGAUGUAAACGACUCCAUAGCAGUCCUUUGAAGAAGAGCAAGCAUGGUAUCCUCAGAGAUAGUAAGAACUGCCGAUGCUGGAGUCUGAGGUAACAGUGUGGAGCUGGAGGAACACAGCAGGCCAGGCAGCAUCAGAGGAACAGGAAAACUGACGUUUCGGGUCGGGACCCACGGUAUCCUCUUGUCCGCACCAAUGUCAAUCAUUUCUCCGCAAAAGAUCCGUAUUUCUGCAAAAAGGAGAAGAAGUACGAAAGCAGAGGAGGUUAGUGAAAGCCUCAAUAAAGGAAGAGAGGGAGCGCCAUAAGUGCGCGCGGAAUGAGAGAGAGCAAAGCAAAACCAAAAGAAACAGGAUGGCAGUGAAAUGAAAUAGGAGAGCAACUGAAGCAGAAUCGAACUAAGCGCCUGAGACAUUUUUGAAUCAGAAACUUAACUCGCCUGAAAGUUUCCUGGUGAGAUCCAGAUUAAUACAAUUGAGAAUCACUGGAUUACGUUGUUUUGUUCAUGUUAUGUUUUAUUUCCAUUUAAUGUAAAGAAGAUCAAUUGGCCUGAGUCAAUCUUGAGCAAGGCUAAUUAAGCGAGUCAUGUAUCUUGGGGAAAGAAACCCAGUGUUAAGCUAUAAGACAGUUACACUCAUUGCUGGCAACACCCAAUGAAUGCCCAAUGUUUACAGGCUAGUUACAGGGUUCACUGACCACUUGAUUUUAUAUAUUCAACAAGUAUUGCUUCUUUAAGUUGGUAUUUUACCUUCCAGUACUUAUUCUUAGCAUACCUUGAGCAGGGUGAAUUAACAUCUGUGUAUUUUCACUGAGUUAGUAUGGUUGCAUGUGCCCUGAAGCGUACUUUUUUUUGACUAAAAAUUCACACAAUCUGAGUGACUGUAUAACUGAUGCAUUGAAAAUUCAAAAAUGUCAUUCUCAAUGGUGCUUGCUGUACACAGG